GAACACAGGAAGGUCCUGGCUAGAUGGUGCCGGCUGGAAAACUGGUCUCACACCUCUCUUCCCACACUUGUAAGCAGUGAAGCUGACAGCACUGCUCUCUGCACAGCACUGAAUCCAUUCCUAGAGGCCCCAGAAGGACCUUUGCCUGCUUCUUGUCCUUUCUGCAGCUUUAUUUCAGGAGGAGAUGCCCACAAAGCCUGCCCAAACCCCAGUAGGACUCAGCUCCUCGCAGCACCACGGGGCAGGUACACAGCGGCAGCGCUCCUCUCCAUAGGGCUCUGUGGGCUUCAGCCCCCUUCCCAUGCUCACAGCCCUGUGGAUAUUUCUCCCCCUCCUUAUUACAUCUCCCAUCCCAGCAGUGCUCAGGGACUCUGUGAGUUUUCUGUUGGUGUGAACCUUCUGGAACGAUGCUACCUCAGAAAGGUCCAGAGCAUUGUGGGGCAGGCGUCCUCCCAGGCAGCCCUGCAGACAAAGACCAAGACCCAGGGCCCAACGGAAAGUCACUGCUCAGCUGUGUGAGGCCAUGGUCCUGCGAGCUGUCUUGUUCCUGAUCGCCGUGCUGACCGCCUUGUUCUGCCAACACGUCUCCAAGCACAGGAUCACCUCCCAGCUGGGUGGGGUGAUGCAGAAGAUGAGGCUGGCAGGCCACCAGGGGAGAUACUUGGAUGACACACGGAAGGCCCCUCUUCACGCACACGAGGGGGAAAGCUCCAGCCAGGAGAUGCAGCGCGUCCGUCGGUCCUGGCUGGAGGAUUACCUGGGUGACGUGUGGUCUCACUUUGCUGAGAACUUCCCCAUUGCCGUCCUGUACAUCUUCCCCAUCACCGUGCUGAUCCUGCUCCUCCUCUGCUGCCUCACGUAUGUGUGUGCAUUGCACACCCCCCGGUGCUCCUGUUCUCAAGAGCUGUGUUUGCUGGGUUGCAGCUCUGCAAUGCCUGUCCCAGCACAAGGCAGCAGGGAGGAGGUGCUCCUUGGGCUCCUCGUUGUUUUUUAGGGUAAGUAUGGAGUGAGGUGACCUGGAGAAGCAGCGUGGCUACACUGAAAGAAAUUCUGGUGCUUUGAUGGAGCACAGCUCAUCAAAGCCUCCAAAAGAAGCUCAAAGGAGCCUCCAAAACUCCAGGAACCCCAAAGCGGUGCGGAAGGGCCAGGAGCAGAACCACCUUUCUCUUCCUUUCAGAUGAUUUUAAAGAUUCUCCCAGACUGAAUUUCCCACUCCCACAUAAAGUUCAGACUUCGCCUGAGGCUCUGCUCUCUGACUUAUAGCCAGAACACAAGAGGUUCACUGGGGUUCAUAGAAUCAUUAAGGUUGGAAAAGACCUCUCAGAUCCCCGAGUCCAACCCCAACCCAUCUCACCAUGCUCAUAACCAUGACCCUGAGUGCCACAUGCCCACUGUUCUGGAGCACCUCCUAAGAUGAUGACCCCACGGCUCCCUGGGCAGCUGAGCCAAUGCAGCACCGCUCUUUCAGAGAA